UGAUUCUUAAAUACAGCAACCCAGAGUGAGAGAUUUUAACAACAGCAAAUCAACAUCUCCAUCUUUUCUCCCUUUGCUCACGAGACACCAGGAGUUUAUUGGAGCUACCAAAAAUAUUGCAAAGAUGAACAAUACUGGAUGACGAGAAAAGAGGUUGAGCUGUCAGAAGCCAUCAGGAUGGCACCAGCACUGCCUGAGUCCUGGUCACCACUUGCAAUCUGCUCUACUUCUCAGAAUGGAGGCCUCCAGCAAAAUGUGAUCCUGUGGUAUCGAUGCAGUCCAAGGACCAGUCCAGAAUCUACUGAAGUUUGGAAGAUCAUCAGUAAUGCACCUGUAACUUCUGCAACUACCUCCUUUCAGAAAGCCGGGAGGAAGGCUGUCUGGUCCAGAAGAUUCAUUGGCUUUCAGUCUCUUUCUUCAGCUCUUCCCUAUUUUUGAUUGCAUGACGUUUAAAGCAUGAAAUACAAGAGCUUCCCUCCCCCUAACUUCCAAUUUGUUUUGUGCUCUCAGCUUUGAAGAUACUUUGUAUAAAUGUACUUGUUUAAUAUCAAAGUCUUCCUUAUUUCCCAAUAGUAAUUUUUCCUGUCUCAACCUCAAAAGGAUCUGAUUUUGCUUUCUCUCCUUGUUUCUGGCAAAUUUUGUUUGUUUUUUUUGCCAAUUUACUCUUAUUUUCUAUCUUCUCCUGCUGUAUCAUUUUCUUGUCUUCCUUUGUUGGUUACUGAAUUGCCCUUAAUCCUUAAAUUUAUAGUUCUUGUCUCUUUUAUAGGGUUCCUUUAAUCUAAUGGUGGCCUCACCUCUUUAGUUAGCCAUGAAAUCUUUACCUUACCAUAGAAUGUUUCAUUUGUUUUAUUCCUUGUUGGGAACUAUGCAGUAUUUCCUUGUGGUUCCUCUUGUUUAUUUUUUGGCAAACCAAUUAAUCUAAUUUUUUAAGCUGAACCCUAUUUUCCAAUUUAAAUGCGUAACUGCCAAAUUCAAUGUAAAAUUCUCCUACAUUCUGAUCAAUUAUCCCAAGAGGGUCCCUCAUUUUAAGAUUACUAAUUAACCCUGUUUUGUAAUGCAGCACAAGACCAAAAAUAAUACGGUCCUUCAUUGGUUCCAUGACAUAUUGCUCCAGGAAACACUCCCAGAUGGAUAAUUUGAAUUCGUCCUCCCUAUGACUUUUGUUCAGGUUUUAGAAAGAUUAAAGUCCUCAUGGUUGUUAUAUUAACUUUGCUACAAAGUUCACUUCAUUCUGGAUUAUUUACUCUUGACAACUCUUAAAGUAUUGGGAAGGGGACUAUAAAUGUUUGUUUUCUCUCCUGCUGUCUCUUAUCCCAUCCUUAUAGAUGUCUGUUUUUCUGAACUAAGCUCACUCUUUACUGCUGCCAUUCCAUCAUUUUCA